rnacentral:rRNA from 1 species
AUUGAACGCUGGCGGAAUGCUUUACACAUGCAAGUCGAACGGCAGCACGGACUUCGGUCUGGUGGCGAGUGGCGAACGGGUGAGUAAUGUAUCGGAACGUGCCCAGUCGUGGGGGAUAACGUAGUGAAAAUUACGCUAAUACCGCAUACGAUCUAUGGAUGAAAGCGGGGGAUCGAAAGACCUCGCGCGAUUGGAGCGGCCGAUAUCAGAUUAGGUAGUUGGUGGGGUAAAGGCCCACCAAGCCAACGAUCUGUAGCUGGUCUGAGAGGACGACCCGCCACACUGGAACUGAGACACGGUCCAGACUCCUACGGGAGGCAGCAGUGGGAAAUUUUGGACAAUGGGCGAAAGCCUGAUCCAGCCAUUCCGCGUGCAGGAUGAAGGCCCUCGGGUUGUAAACUGCUUUUGUACAGAACGAAAAGGUUUCUACUAAUACUAGGAGCUCAUGACGGUACUGUAAGAAUAAGCACCGGCUAACUACGUGCCAGCCGCCGCAGUAA